rnacentral:snoRNA from 1 species
GUUGCUUCUGUUCUGAAUUGAGUGACCCGCAUACAAUAUGUUAUUCUCAGUAAGAAGCAUAUAUGGAAAAGAUAAUAGACCAGUCUUAAACAGCAUGGUGGUUAAUUGCUGCACUGUGUUACCUGUCGCCUGGUACAUUU